AUUUCUUGUCCAUCUGAGAGAAUUCCCUGAAUAGCAUACAGAAGAAGUCAACAUGGAAAAGAAGUAUUAUUGAUAUUAUCAUUUAAUGUAGUACUAGUUGAUAUAUUUACUUUGUAGACUUCUCCAAAUCCACCUUUCCCUAUCCUGUUUUCUACACCAAAUCUGUUUGUUGCAGCUUCAAUUGUGGCUAAUUCAAAUUGCAAGGACUCCAAAGAGAAAGCAACAGCAACCCAAGACUGAAAGCACCAGUGAUACAACAACUGGAACAACGAUCACAAUUGAUAUUAGUGUCUUCUGUUUUUCUUUUCCUGCAACAAUAUCAGUACCUUGUGUCAUUUUCAGUUUGCCAUUAAAAAUGGUUAUGUACCUAAGCAACAUAUGUUUCUUAAACCUGUAAGAAUUUUAUCGUUUGAACUAUUUCUCUUGAAUGAUGAAAAGAAAGAAAACAGAGCUUAGGGGUUGGUAACAUGUACUAUGAAUGUAGACAAUAUGUAAUUUACAAAUUCUUUUUCCUCC